GACGAACGCUGGCGGCGUGCUUAACACAUGCAAGUCGAACGGAAAGGCCCUGCUUGCAGGGUGCUCUAGUGGCGAACGGGUGAGUAACACGCGGGUGUACUGCCCUGCACUUUGGGAUAAGCCUUGGGAACUGGGUCUAAUAUACGAUAGGAGCCCUUCUGAGUGUUCUGGUUGGUAAGUUUUUUCGGUUUGGGGUGAGUUCGCGGGCUAUCUGCCUGUUGGUGGGGGAAUGGGUUUCCAAAGCGGCGACGGGUAGCCGGCCUGAGAGGGUGGACGGCCACAUUGGGGCCGAGAAACGGGCCAGACUCCUACGGGGGGCAGGAGGGGGGAAGAUUGCACAAGGGGCGCCAGCCGGAUGCAGCGACGCCGCGUGGGGGAUGACGGGCUUCGGGUUGGAAACUCGUUUCGCUAGGGACGAAGCUGUGUGUGACGGUACCGAGAUAAGAAGCACCGGCUAACUACGUG
rnacentral:rRNA from 1 species